GAGGAACAUUCGGGCGUUUUUAGCUGCAGCUUCGUCGUCCUCGCGUCUUUUCUCGCCUCUCUCUGGCUGUCUCGCCUCUUCCCGCACGCCGCCUCCUUCGCCACCCCUGCGCUGCCCGCGCCGCCGCCGGCGCGCUGCUCUGGCCCCUCCUCUCCCGAAUCCCGCCGCCGUCCUCUCCUCUUCCGAAUCGCGUCGCCGGCCAAGCUCCACUCUAGAAUCGCGUCGCUGGCCGAGAUCCUCUUCGAAUUCUGCCGCCGGCCGAGCUCCUCUUCAAAACCAGCCGCCGGCCGAGCUCCUCUGCAAAUCCCGCCGCCGGCAGCCAUCUUCUGCUCCUCCUCAUCCUCCAAGCUCCGCCCCACCUCGGCAGAGGAGCCUCGGCACCGCUCGCUCGCCUCGCCUCUCCGAUCUGCUCGCCGGCUGCCGCCGCCCGCAUGCAGCGGAUCGGUGCAGCAGAUCCAAACAGGCGGAUGCAGAGCAGACUCGCAGCCCCCGUGCAUAUCCUGGCUGCGAUGCAGUCGCUGGGUCUCAGGGAAACCAAACACGCCCCAAGCGAACGGUUUAGAUGAAGCCACGCACCCUCACGCGAACGAUCUGGAACCGCCCAAAAGAACUCCAUUCUUGCUGUCCAGCUCAUUCUCCUCUAGCCUCUAGGGCUCCCCUCGUUUCCCCCAUCCCUAGCCGCUACCGCGUCCGCGCGAGCAAAUCGCCCGCUCGAGAGGCCUCUCGUCGCCGUUCAGUUGGGGGCGUUGCUGCGUGGAUUGUCAAAGUUCUUGUUGCCGCGAGGGGGACAGGAAGGUGGCGGCGGCGGCGGCGGCCGGUGGACAACAUGAGCUUUGUGUUCCGGGGGAGCAGAGCUGACAUCGAGGCCGGUGGUUUCCCGGGGUUCGCCCCAGAGCGCCGUGGGAUGCGAAUCCAUGCUGGUGGCCGGACGGUGAACAGCAAUUCCUUAGGGUUUCUUGUAACUGUUCUGGUUCUCAUUAUGGUACUGAGCUCGAACCAGAUGUCUCCGAACUUUUUGCUUUGGCUGGUGUUGGGUGUGUUCCUAAUGGCGACCAGCCUUAGGAUGUACGCCACGUGCCAGCAGCUCCAAGCACAGGCACAAGCUCAUGCUGCAGCCGCUAACAGCUUACUUGGACGCACUGAGUUGCGGGUGCAUGUCCCGCCAACCAUAGCCCUUGGCGCGAGAGGCCCGUUGCAAAGCCUUAGGCUCCAACUUGCUCUGCUUGACCGUGAGUUUGAUGAUUUAGAUUAUGAUGCUCUUAGAGCAUUGGAUGCCGACAUUAGCCCACAUGCUCCAUCUAUGAGUGAAGAAGAAAUAAACACUCUUCCUGUUUUCAAAUACAAAUUUCAGGCGCAGCAGGGAAGCGCCUCUGCCCGAAAAAGUGGUGAUGGACCAUCUGUAUUGUUGCCUUCCUCUUCUGGAUCUAGUAAUGAGAAAAGCCAAGAUGCAUAUGGAGCCAGUAAAACCCCAGAGGAUGAGUUGACGUGCAGCGUUUGCUUGGAACAAGUCGUCGUGGGUGAUCUAUUGAGAAGUCUUCCAUGCUUGCAUCAGGGAUUACACAAGGGGGGGACACUCCGCGUCAGAGUAAUCAGAAACAACGUGUGAGGUGAAACUAAGGAGUAAUACCAAUAGGUGUGAACUUCGUACGAACCAUCGUGACCACUUUAUUGCGGUCCGCAGAUUCUUGCAAGUAUGAGCAUAGCUUGUCUUAAAGGAAGUUUCAUGUAGAAUGCAUCGACCCAUGGCUGCGCCAACAAGGAACAUGCCCGGUCUGCAAGCACCAGGUGAGCGAUUCUUGGCGUAGUGGUGGCAAUGGUGAAAUAGUGGACGGUUCUUACAUGGUGUAACAUGAGCUCCAAAUCUUAGCCUACUAUAUCUGCUAAUAAAGAGCCCAUGGAGUCGGGGAGUAGUUGUUUUAGUCCCUGCCGAGAGUUUCUGUACAUGAGAUACUCCAUUCUCUGUGAUGUUUUAUGCAUCCAAAGGCUGCUGAUGCUUUUCUGGUUUGUUUUCACCAUGGCGGUUGAGCGGAUCGUUAGGCUGGCUGCCUAUAUCUGUGGUCAGAGGAUACUUGGCCAAGCUCCGUAAGAAUCUAGAUGGACGAUGCAUCACUAAUCUGCUCCAACGUUAAUGAUGCGAUGAUUGGCAUUUGC